rnacentral:tRNA from 1 species
AAGGUUUUAACUUAAUUAAAGUGUCUGAGUUGCAUUCAGAUAAUGUAGGUUAAAGUCCUACAAAUCUUA